GGAAAAAUGUAAGCAAAGCAAUAAAGACGAUAAUAAUAAGAACUAUGUAGCAAUAGGUGUAGCCCUUGGAGUUGUCCUCGCAAUUAUACUUAUUGUUUUGGUUGUUAUUAUCUACAGAGUAAAACAUACAAAAUCACUGAAAAGGAUAAAUGCUGAGAAAGAAGAAAACAAUGGACGACAGUCAAUGUUUGAAAAACUAGAGAAUCACGCAGAUGAGAAUAGGUCUAGAACACCAGUAGAAUUGUUUAAAGUAAAGUAAAGUGCAGGUUCAUGAAGAAUCCAACAGCAAGAACAGUGCAAACAAUUCAAAAAAAAUGGAUGUUAACAUUUAUGUCGUUUAUAUGACAUUUGAACCGUUUUUUUUUAUAUCAUGAUAAUUGAAGAUUUGAAUUAUAGUCAUUUCGUACCCUAACCAUUUCGUACCCUCAAUUUCGUACUUUCACCAUUUAGUACCAUGACCAUUAUAUACCGCGGAGGGAUAUUAACAUGUGUACUAUUUCGCACCUCAUGGAAGAUUCAAAUGUAUGUCAUUUGAACAUCUUGUAAGUUUAUAUGUAUGCUAUUUCGUACCCCAUUGAAGAUUUACAUGUAUGCCAUUUCGUACCCCAUUGAGAUUUACAUGUAUGCUAUUUUGUAACCCAUUGAAGAUUUACAUGUAUGCCAUUUCGUACCUCAUUGAGGAUGUAUUUAUAUGUAUGCUAAUUCGUACUCAUGGAAGAUUUUUCAUGUGUAACAUGUCUGGGUAAAAACGUUCAUAGACGUAUAGUCCUUGUGUCCCUUUUAACGGCAUUUGCUGACAAAAAUAAAGGCAACAGUAGUAUACUGCGGUUCGAAAUUCAUAAAUGGAUUGAGAAAAAGAAUAAUUCCGGGUUACAAAUAAAAACUAAGGGAAACACAUUAAUUAUAAGAGGAGAACUACGACACAACAGAAACACAACAUUAAAAUGUAACACUUAUAGAAAUGAACUAUAAUAUAACAAUGGCCAUUUUCCCGACUUGGCACAGGACAUUUUUAGAAAACAAUUGUGAGUAGUUGAACCUGGUUUUCUGGCAUGCCAAACCUCCCGCUUUUAUGACAUUGUUAGAUAUAACAUUUAAAUGACAACAUUACAUGACAAGACAACAAGACAAAUAAAUGGGAGAACAUAUAGGACAGAGAAACACACGAAUAUGAGCUGACAAAAGGUACCAGAUUUAAAAUUUAAUACGCCAGACAAAAACAAAUAUCAAUAACUAGAAAUCAGUUGCAGAACAAAUCCUGUAAACAAACAAAGUGUAAAUAACACUAUUGAAGUGUCCAAGUUCUGCUUAACCAAAGUAAUCAUCGGUCUUUAUAAAAUUGUUAGUCUAUUGCUUUGAUUUUAUAAGUGUUAUACACUAAAAAUAAAAAGUCCAAAUAUGAUAUGAAAUAGUUAACAUGUAUUAAGUCCAUGAGGUAUGAGAUGGUAGAUGUAUUUGGCCCAUAGGGUACGAAAUUGAUGUUAUCGUGGGUACGAAAUUGAUUUUAUCGUGAAACGAAAUGGUAAAUGUUGGUUAUGAAAGGCAAAUGUUGGUACGAACUGGCAGAUGUACGAAAUGGUCAAGGUACAAAAUGACUUGCUUCUGAAGAUUUUGCAACAAAAUGCUAUCUUUCCUUUGAGUUUUACCAUUUUAAUAUUAUCAUAUUUUUGAUUAUAUACCUUUAUCAUUUAUUUAGUAGUAGAUACAGUAGUUUUGAAUAUUUGAUAAAUAGCCUGCUGUUUAAUCCAUUUCGCGCAACUUUGAUGCGCACCUUUAUUAUACCCUUUACCACACCCCUAUUUUUUAUUUAUGUAAGCUUAAGAAAUAUUUUUCCUCAAAAUAUGUCCAAAAUGAACGGUCAUUUGGGCGUGACGCAAUUUAUUGAAUAACGUUAUUGUUUGGCAUGUGACGUCACGAACGUCAAGUUUUCAUAUUUUUUGGCACACUAAAUGCAACUAUAAAAAGUACAAAACACACAAGAAAUGCAAUUAACAAAAUAUUUUUAAAACAGCCCGCAAAUUGUAAUGUAACCCAGGUGCUUCGCAUAAGUAAUAGAGCAGUUAUUUUAAAAGGCUUUUAAAACAAAACAAAAGUAGAACUGAAGGCUACCAAGUGCUAUGGAUCAGGAAACAAUUCAUAUAAUAUAAUACUCUCCUGUUGAAAUAUGUGAUAAAGCGUAUAAAACAUGGCAAAAUCCGUAUCACAUGCCUUAUCACUCUCGACCAAUGUCUUCCUUUGGGCCUAAAGGCCCUUGGGCUGAUAUUGGUGUCUCGGGAUGAUACGACAUAUGAUACGGAUGUUGCCAUGUAUUGUUCCCUAUGUAUUCUUUUACGAAAUUUAAAACUAGGUAUUGACCAUUUUAUAUAUCUGUAAUUAAACGAAUCGAAACAAACAAUUUGUUUUCGAUGAGACGUAUAUUAAUCAAUAUAUCCAGGAAAUUUAUAGUGUAUUUAUUAGUCUAUUCAUUUGUAAAAUAAACUAUUAUUAUUAAUGUUUUUUAUUCAUAUCAUUAUUUUCAUUUUCUCAUCAUUUUUUUUUAUUAUAAUAGACAUAGUUGUAUGUUAACAAAAGAGAAUUUAGAGAACUGUUAUCAUGUAAAAUUCUUGAUAUAAAGGUAGCUGAAAUUCUAACGGAAUAUGUAUGCACCCGCAACAAAAUGUCAAUGGCUAAUAAUUUUACCCCUGUACGAAUAUAGGUAACAUGGGGUUUUCUGCUUAAUCAAGGAUUUCCAUAAUAACAUAAUGUUAAAGAUAUUAUUAUAAUGAUUUUAAUUUUAUCAGAAUUUUUAUUUUCCCUAAAGUUUCCUAGCUUAAAUCUAUACAAUAUUGUACAUGAUGUUUGUACAUAUACUAAAUAAGGUUUAACACAUUAUCAGCAUUUUUGUUUCCGUUAAAGUUUUCAUAGAUGGAUUGCCCAACUAAAACUUCCUAUGUUUCCGAGCUAGAACGUUAUGCAGGGUGUCAGUACAAAUACUAUUAGUGGAAGAUAUCAGAAAUUUACCAGAUAUGACAGGAUGUUUAACUUGUUAGUCAUGUUUAUGUCCCGGGUCAAAAAGUUUUGUCGUUUACCUUUGUCGUUACAUAAUGAAGUAAAAAAAACAUUUUUAAAGACUUCCCCAUUUUGAAAAAUUUACAAUUUUCUGUAUAUGUUGUCACAUCACUCCUACAUCCAUCAAGACACCUUGGACAUUAUGUAACUAGAUAUGACACUCACGUUUACAUUUUGAAUUAAUCACAUUCACUUUUAUUUAGUUCCUGGUAACCCUGCAAAAUUUGAGAUUUGAAGUCUAACACGAUGAACAACAGUAAUUUUUUAUAUAUAA